rnacentral:rRNA from 1 species
AUUCGAUUCCCUACGGGGUGCAGCAGUCGCGAAAACUUCACACUGGGGGCAACCCCGAUGAGGGAAUUCCUAGUGCAUGCAUUUAAUGUAUGCUUUUCUUUAGUUUAGAACGCUAGAGGAAUAAGGGCUGGGUAAGACGGGUGCCAGCCGCCGCGGUAAUACCCGCAGCCCGAGUGGUGGUCGAUAUUAUUGAGUCUAAAACGUUCGUAGCCGGUUCUGUAAAUCCUUGGGUAAAUCGGUAAGCUUAACUUACCGACUUCCGAGGAGACUGCAGAACUUGGGACCGGGAGAGGCAAGAGGUACUUCUGGGGUAGGGGUAAAAUCCUGUAAUCCUAGAAGGACCACCGGUGGCGAGGGCGUCUUGCUAGAACGGAUCCGACGGUGAGGGACGAAGCCCUGGGGCGCAAACGGGAUUAGAUACCUCGGUAGUCCAGGGUGUAAACGCUGCAGGCUUGGUGUUGGAGACCCUUCGGGGGUGUUCAGUGCCGGAGAGAAGUUGUUAAGCCUGCUACUUGGGGAGUACGUCCGCAAGGAUGAAACUUAAAGGAAUUGGCGGGGGAGCACCGCAACGGGAGGAGCGUGCGGUUUAAUUGGAUUCAACACCGGAAAACUCACCAGGAGCGACGGUUACAUGAAAGUCAGGCUGAUGACCUUACUAGAUUUUCCGAGAGGAGGUGCAUGGC